rnacentral:sRNA from 1 species
UUCUGACCUGAUGUCCUACUUCUAUUGG